rnacentral:rRNA from 1 species
AGCAGUCGCCGCGGGAAUACGGAGGAUGCGAGCGUUAUCCGGAUUUAUUGGGUUUAAAGGGUGCGUAGGCGGCCUGUUAAGUCAGCGGUGAAAUCUAGGAGCUUAACUCCUAAAUUGCCGUUGAUACUGGCGGGCUUGAGUGUAGAUGAGGUAGGCGGAAUGCGUGGUGUAGCGGUGGAAUGCAUAGAUAUCACGCAGAACUCCAAUUGCGAAGGCAGCUUACUAAGGUACAACUGACGCUGAAGCACGAAAGCGUGGGUAUCAAACAGGAUUAGAUACCCCUGUAGUCCCUGUCUCUUAUAC